AGCGUAGGCGGACAUUUAAGUCAGGGGUGAAAUCCCGGGGCUCAACCUCGGAAUUGCCUUUGAUACUGGGUGUCUUGAGUAUGAGAGAGGUGCGUGGAACUCCGAGUGUAGAGGUGAAAUUCGUAGAUAUUCGGAAGAACACCAGUGGCGAAGGCGACACACUGGCUCAUUACUGACGCUGAGGCUCGAAAGCGUGGGGAGCAAACA
rnacentral:rRNA from 1 species